GUCUGAGAGGACGACCGGCCACACUGGGACUGAGACACGGCCCAGACUCCUACGGGAGGCAGCAGUGGGGAAUAUUGCACAAUGGGCGCAAGCCUGAUGCAGCAACGCCGCGUGAGGGACGACGGCCUUCGGGUUGUAAACCUCUUUUAGCAAGGAAGAAGCGAAAGUGACGGUACUUGCAGAAAAAGCGCCGGCUAACUACGUGCCAGCAGCCGCGGUAAUACGUAGGGCGCAAGCGUUAUCCGGAAUUAUUGGGCGUAAAGAGCUCGUAGGCGGUUUGUCGCGUCUGCUGUGAAAACCCGAGGCUCAACCUCGGGCCUGCAGUGGGUACGGGCAGACUAGAGUGCGGUAGGGGAGAUUGGAAUUCCUGGUGUAGCGGUGGAAUGCGCAGAUAUCAGGAGGAACACCGAUGGCGAAGGCAGAUCUCUGGGCCGUAACUGACGUUGAGGAGCGAAAGGGUGGGGAGCAAACAGGCUUAAAUACCCUGGUAGUCCACCCCGUAAACGUUGGGAACUAGUUGUGGGGUCCAUUCCACGGAUUCCGUGACGCAGCUAACGCAUUAAGUUCCCCGCCUGGGGAGUACGGCCGCAAGGCUAAAACUCAAAGGAAUUGACGG
rnacentral:rRNA from 1 species